CAACUAGGCAGUCUGCUGUUGACCAACAUGUCCUUCUGAGGGGAGUCUGGGUAGCUACCAAAUCACGAAUAUCACCAAAACCACAAUCUCCAUCAUCACUCAACCAACAGGAAUCUCCUGAGAGCCUGCUUCAUGCUCAGCACUGUGAAACUUGCAUUGAAAAACGAAGGCACAAAAGAGAAUACAAAAUGGUUUUAUAUUAUUGGACAUGUACUAUUAUUGUCUCACUUUGGAUUGCUGGUAAAUGAGACAGAGAAAGAUGAGUCAACCUGAAAAGAUCACGAAGUAGUAAAAGAUGGAACUGAUGUUGAGCCCACCCCAUCUCUCCACAUGAUCAUCACAAACACAAUAACCCGUAACCAAAAGAUUGAGACAGAGGACUGCAAGGCAGUAAUUCCAAGUGUGCUGGCAGAGCCUGGAAGCCAUUAACAAGCAAGUGUGAGAAGUAAUUGAAGGGAAGAAUAAAAUUACAC
rnacentral:lncRNA from 10 species